rnacentral:tRNA from 1 species
CUCUGGCGAUCUCUUAAAAUAAAGUCUAGCCUAUUUUAAACAAAUAGGGCUUUUAGACCUAUGUUUAAAUUUUUAUGAUGUUUAAAUUCUUAUGGAUUUUAAAAAUCGUGAAUUUAAAAAAGUCUUUAUGAAGAAAGCACUUCAAGCUUUUCCAAUGAUUUAAGAUGAUACCGGGGAAGGUUUUCCGGUUUAUCCCGGAGGGCUUGUAGCUCAGUUGGUUAGAGCGCGCGCUUGAUAAGCGUGAGGUCGGAGGUUCAAGUCCUCCCAGGCCCACCAAUUAUACUCGUUUUUUGUUUAUUCUUGAGAGUUAUGAAGCUUAAGCGCAUGAAAGCCUCUUUAAAUCUUUUUUGAUUAUGAAAGAUUUAAUUUUAUCCUUCAAAGAUUGUUUGUGAAAUUUAUCUCAUUUUAAAUUUGUCAGACAGUGCAUUUAUCAAAGAGGAAAAUCCCUUCAAGGGUACAGACAAAUUUAAAUGAUAGAAAUCAAAAUGAUCCAAAUCAUUAAUCGUCCAAGUGAUUGAAGUUGAUAAAUUUACUUGAGGUUGAUUUGAGAGAGCAUUUUUUAGGGGCCGUAGCUUCAGCUGGGAGAGCACCUGCUUUGCAAGCAGGGGGUCGUCGGUUCGAUCCCGACCGGCUCCACCAUUUUAUGGUUCAUCAUCAUGUUGUAGGAACAUCGUUUUGUGAGGGGUUUUAGAACUUCCUUG